AUUUGAUCGGAUUGCUCGUCAUCCUGUCGGAUAUGCUGAAUCACGAGGUUUCGCGGAGUUUGGAGAAUCAGUGUGGGAUGAUCUGUUUCUUCUACUUAAUUGGCUUGUUCUCUGUGAAUCCGGCAGCUUACAAGAUGAUGGUCCUCCCUGUAUGAAGUUUACUAGUUCAUUCUUGGUAAAUCUGGCUGCUUACAAUAGUUGAUAGUCCUUUCUAUAUGAAGGUUACUGAUGAAACAGCUUUGUAUGUGAAACGCGGUUCUAAGCCGAUGGUUCUGUACUUUACGUGGAGCUUUGUUUUCUUUUUGUGAAGUGAGAGAAGCACAUGUUUUUCUAUUUCUAACUUCUAAGGGAACGUUGUUGUAUGCACUUUACAAGGCAGCAUCUCCUGUGAGUAAUUCCGUCAAUAGGAAUGUAUUGGUACGAAGGAGCUUUAAAUCCAACACCAAAUAGUGCAGGAGUGGAAAGUGGAAACUCUGCUUGCUGUACCCUUCUGAAUGUUUUGAAUAUUAUUCUUGGGGUUGACCUUUUGAGUGUACUAUUCGUGAUGAAGCUGGCAACAUGCUUUCCUCUGGUUGCAAUCUGAUGGGAUAAAUGGGUGUUCACUCCAUCGUAUAUGUUGUGGCAAAAUGGGAGGUGUGUUUUCUAUUUGAAGAGAUCAAAGUUAUUAGAUGUGGAAGCCAAACUUUGGUGUUACAGCAGUUCCCUUAGUUAGGUUUCAGCAGUUGAUCUUUAAACUUGACGAUGACGGUGCAAUUAUCAACUACAUUUGUUGGCGAACCGAUUGCUCCUGAACCACAUACUCAGUGCUGGCAUUUUUUAAUGCCCAACGCAAAAACAAAAAAAAUUAUGCCCUAUAAAUUUUUCUUUUUGCAAACUCAUAAAUAAUAAUGAUAUAAAUAACCAUACUUUAUUUAGCAAAAAUAAAAAAAUAUAACCAUACUUAAACUGAAGAACAAUAUG